rnacentral:SRP_RNA from 1 species
UCGUGCUAGACGGGGAACUAGCGGUGCCCUGUACCCGCAAUCCGCUAUAGCGGGGUUGAAUUCCCGCCCGAGGGGUGUCGAACCAAGGGACUGACUGCUCAGCGCAGCGUUGAUGGCCGGGCCCGGCGCAACGGCAACCUCCCGAACCUGGUCAGGGCCGGAAGGCAGCAGCCAUAAGGGUAGGGAACCGCGUGCCGCCGACCGUCCGACCGUAGCCAGCGGGAGCGGUACCGCCGAGGAGAGGCACUUCGACGGCGGGUGCACGA